UUUAAUUAUUACAUAUAUAUUACAUAAUGCAUCAACACUCUGCAGACUGUGAUAAUCAAAUGAAUAGAAAUAAAAUUUAGAAACCUAUUCUUUUUCUGUGGAGUCUAGUAGCAAAUGAUCCAUAGCCCCAAGACUGUCUGCAACCUGGUGGUUGGUGACCCCAAUUUUAGUAAAUUUAAUUUGCCCAGGUAUGACAAAGAUAUUUUAUCGACCUUGUAAGAUUAAAAGAAAUAAAUAGCAGAUUGGAAGUCUGACUUGGCAUAAAGUCUUUGUAAUCACUAGAGAAGAUUUUGAUAAAGCAGGUAUUGUUGUUAGAUAUGCCAAUUCUCUUAUUCCAUGCUGAUAUAUUAAUUAAUAUGUCAAAAAUACCUGCAUUAUCUUAAUCUUUUCAGAUUGCAUCUCUCUGCUCAGAUCAACUUUCCAUAUUAUUUUGCCUCACAUAGUUAAAAUAAAUGUCUAAUAGGCUAGUUCUGGGACACUACUUUUUAAUGUAUAUAGAUGUAUAUGUUUGUGUGUAUAAAUGUGAAGGCAUGUGUGUGUGUGUGCAUGAGUAUACAUUAUUGCAAUUACUGAUCAUGUUAGGAAAUAGUAAAAUUUACAAAAUUCACAGCAGUAACAAAGCAGCAAAUCUUUUCGACAGUGAUAUACUUAGUACUUUCACUUGUAAAUUCAAAUGCGUGUGUGUGUGUGUGUGUGUGUACACACAUAUGUGCAGAUGCAUGUAUACCUUGUGAGAAUGUGCUCAGUAAAGGCUGAUAAAAUAUGUUUAAAACUUUAAUUAUUGCUGUGAUGAGAAACGAUAAAAGCAAAUAAAUGGUUUAAUGAUAGGUUUGCUGGUGAGAUAGCAAUCAGUAGUUCCAAGAACGGUAAUGCUGCUGUCUUGUAACUGUGUGUGUUAUAUGUGUGGUUUUGAUUAUGUCUGGUCAAACCUUGGUAUUUGGUUGUUUAUGAUUGUUUUUUAGCCCCUGCUCAGCUCUAUGCCCAGCCUCAGCAGACCAGCCAUGUCCAUUUUAUCAUUCUCAUGGCAUUGCUUUUCUGGUUAUAAUUUGAGUGAGGUAUGGAUACUAUUCUUAACAAGUUGACCACCCAGAGGUUCUCCCACUGAAGAUUGAUAUGGUCACCUUUCCCAAGAGUGUUUUCUCUUAUAUCUAUCUUGGCAGUUUGGAAUUCAGAACUGUGAUUCCAUUUGUUUGGAGAAGUAAAUAUUUCUUUGCAAUUGUGGUUUUGUGUGGUCUUAACUUUGUAAUGAUAGUAGUGAGGCUAAGAGACUGGGAUACUGACCACAUAGUUAUGUGAUCAAAUCUUACACCAUAUUGUGCUGCCUCUAAUCAAGGUUCAGUCUGCCUGGUUGAUAUGAGGUGCCACUUCUCUUUCAUGUCUAUCAGUAAGAACAUCCAGUAGUAAGAUAUCCAUUCUGCUUUUUACUUGGCACCAGCAACAGUGAAGUCACCAAGUUACUUGCAAGACUAUCUCCCCUCCCCUGGUUGAGGAAGGUUUAUGUCAGGAGAUGAGACGUUUGAAUAUGAAUAGAGGGAUAGAAAUAGGUGUCUUUCAAUAGGGGAGAAAUAGGGCUGCCUCAGCUGCAGAGAAAGAGAGAGAGAAGUUGGUGAUGCAAUAUGAAAAGAAUACAUGAGAGCAAGGAUUCCUGCUGGAAACAUUAGAAUUCCUUACUCGGCGUCUCAUGUUAAAGCAGAGGGCAUGAUGAUGAAGAUGAUAGCAGUGGCAAUUUUGUGUAUGUGUUUGUGUGGAGUGAAUUGAUUCCAAUACAUUACUGGUAGUGUUUGUGUGAAAGAUAAAGAAACAGUGUCUAUAAUAGUUAUAUCCUUUCUUGAAAAAUUUGCUAAUGUCUUAUAAAUAAAUGAAAAAUAAGAUAUAAUCAAUUUUAUGUGUUGGGUGAGGCUGUGACCCAUUGAUGGGUGUAAGUGUCACCAUCUUCUCUGAGGUUGUUGAAGUAAUUAGAUAUAAAAAAAUACAAAAUGGUUAAUUCACAUUAACUAUUAUAUCUCUCCCCCACUCACAAAAACCAAAAUUGCCUUGUCAAAAUCAAGUAAAUUCAAUUGUUAUGGAAACCCUGUUUGAUCUUUCUAUCACACAUUCCUCUCUCCUCCUCUAAUUCUGUAACUAUUUCCAUCUCUAUCACUGCAAUAUUUACGCAGCAGUUUAUUUAUAGAUAUUUCUAGUCUCCUCUACUGUUAGUUGCUAGGUGGAAGAAGAGAUAAUCAAUCGUUCAGCUUGUUUUCUAUUCAUUCUAAACUCUUUAAACUCUGGAUCCAUCCACAAAAGCAGUGUCUUUUGUGUCUAUUUUUGGCACAAGCACACAUACAUGCACACUCAAAUCCAUAAAUUUAUGGAUUAGGCAAGUCCAUUUGUGAGUGUAGGCAGCAGUAUUGCAGGAUGCACUAUUAUUGCAAGGUGCACAAGCAUUGCAGAAUGCACUAGAAAUUAUCAAAAUUGUUGACAUACAGAGUUACUACAAUCUGAAAUCUUAUUGUCUUUAAUUAAGAUGUUAUUGAAAGCAUUUGGCUGCUAUUUUUAGCAUGUCAAGCAAUCCUGUAGAGGUUCCCUUAUUUAUUCAUUCUAAAAACAUUUUAUGUGGCAAAGCCAGCUUUUUCAGUUUAUUAUUUCAGUAUUAAAAACAGCACCCUACUGUGACUAAAAUUCAGAUUUAGAUUGUGCCACAUCACUGAUUUCGUCUGACUAGUCAUUCCUACACUACUCCUAUUUCAAGGUUGGCCAUCUAACAGCUGGAAGAGCGUGCAUUUGUAAAAGUUUUUUUCCCCAGUACUGCCCUAACCUAUUCCAUUCGUGCAAACAUGGACGAACGGAAAUAAAAGAAAAUAGCUGAAGAAAAUCAUUGUCCAGUCAUUGCUACCUUGACAAAAAAAAAAAAGUGCAGAUGUAGUUGUGUUGUAAGAAGCUUGCUUCCUAU